rnacentral:rRNA from 1 species
UUGAACGCUGGCGGCAUGCCUUACACAUGCAAGUCGAACGGCAGCACGGGGGCAACCCUGGUGGCGAGUGGCGAACGGGUGAGUAAUACAUCGGAACGUGCCCUGAAGUGGGGGAUAACGUAGCGAGAGUUACGCUAAUACCGCAUAUUCUGUGAGCAGGAAAGCAGGGGAUCGCAAGACCUUGCGCUUUAGGAGCGGCCGAUGUCGGAUUAGCUAGUUGGUGGGGUAAAGGCCUACCAAGGCGACGAUCUGUAGCGGGUCUGAGAGGAUGAUCCGCCACACUGGGACUGAGACACGGCCCAGACUCCUACGGGAGGCAGCAGUGGGGAAUUUUGGACAAUGGGCGAAAGCCUGAUCCAGCCAUGCCGCGUGCGGGAAGAAGGCCUUCGGGUUGUAAACCGCUUUCAGCCGGAAAGAAAUCGCCACUUCUAAUACGAGUGGUGGAUGACGGUACCGGAAGAAGAAGCACCGGCUAACUACGU